AUGCAGCCCCUCGCCGCGAUACUCGCCUCCGUCCUCCUCGCCGCCGCUGCCAUGGCCGACCCCGGGCCCUCCCCUGCCAUCAUCGACGCGACAUGCUCCGUCUUCGCAAAGACCUGCGCCUACCCCAGCCACGACUACUGCGUGAACGUGCUCUCCACCUCGGACCCGGCCUCCGCCGCCUCCGCCAAGGACGAGCGCGACCUCGCCAUCAUCCCCGCCAACGCCACCGCGCACAACGUCACGCGUACAGUCGACCUCAUCGACGACCUGUCCCACGAGCUCGCGAGAUGCUCGGAAUCCUACGCGCGCGACAUGGGCGGCAAGGUCGCCAGCGCCCUCGGCGACCUCGUCGCCGGGCGCAAGCCGGGGGACAAGCUCCUGGACGCGUACAAUCUUGGCCCUUCCAACUGCACCCUCGCCGUGAUGCUCAGGUGGGGCUAUUCCAAGAAUCUUCUGGCGCACGAGAACUCGGCCAACGCGGCCUUGGUCCUGCUCGCCAGGAACAUCGCGAGGCUGGUCCCCAACUCAAACAGGACGGCCUCGCCUGCCGCCAUCAUGAACUCGAUGUGCUCCUCUCUGCUGUACAACAUGUACCCUGGCUACGACUACUGCGUCGGCGUGCUCUCCUCCGACGACCCGGCGGCGGCCGCCGCCGCAAGGAACACGCGCGAUCUCGCCAUCAUCGCCGCCAACGCCACCGCGCACAGCAUCACGUCUACGGUCAAGCUCAUCGGAGGCCUGCUUUCCGACCUCGCCGAGUGCAAGGUUUCCUACGGCCGUAUGGGCAGCACCGUGGACGGCGCUCUGGGAGACCUCGUCGCAGGACAUGAUGCCCCCGCCGGAGCUGCCAGCAAGCUGGGCGACGCCGCGGGCGACGCGCUCAGCUGUGACAUGGUGAUGUCGAGGAGGAGGGGCGCCGCUAAGAACGUCCUGCACCAGGAGAACUGGCACAACUUCGUGUCCGCACGCUUUGCCAGUAACAUCGCCUUCCUAGAGGACUAUUGA
rnacentral:rRNA from 1 species